rnacentral:lncRNA from 10 species
GAACAUGCCCAGCACAGUAAAUUCUCCCAGUGUUAGUUCAAAUAUUUUAUUUUGUUUGAUUUUUUAAAAUGCAUUUUUCCAAGAUUAAAUUGUCACACAAAAUAACAACAAAUAAACGAUUCAUCCUGUGCUUUGCUAGCAUGUACGCUGCUUUGUUUUCUUUUCUUUUUUUUUUGAGACAGAGUCUCGCUCUAGUCGGCCAGGCUGGAGUGCAAUGGGCAUGAUCUUGGCCCACUGCAACCUCCGCCUCCCGGGUUAAAGCAGUUCUCCGGCCUCAGCCUCCCAAGUAGCUGGGAUUAUAGGCACGUGCCACCACACCUGGCUAAUUUUUUUGUAUUUUUAGUAGAGACGGGGUUUCACCAUGUUGUCCAGGCUGGUUUCGAACUCUUGACUUCAGGUGAUCCACCCACCUCGGCCUCCCAAAGUGCUGGGAUUACAGGCAUGAGCCACUGCUCCCGGCC